GCACUUCCUUAAUAAAUAGCCUGACACAUAAGUUCAUGCAGACUAAGUUUUGUUCAAUUUCAUUUGUUUUGUAGUCGGUAUCUUCAACUGCUUGGAUUAGUGGUGGGCUUGUCUGAUCAUUUCCUGCAGAUAAAUCAGAUUGGCUAGGGUGAAAUGCAAUCAAAUAGGCAUCAGAAUCUUCAGCACAGGUGCCAAUUGAAAGUGGUGUCAAAAUAUUAUCUACAAAUAAUAUUCAAAAUGCUCUGGUGAACUGGAUGGAACUAGUUGGUUGUCACAAUUCCCCCCCCCUGCUGCUUAAUGAGGCCAAAGAAGUUCUCCAGAGGAUCUUGGUUGAGACAUCUUGUCAUGAGAAACUCCAAGGAAUGAUGUUGGUUUAUAAGGUCUUGAAAUGUAAAUACUACAGUGUAAUUACUACUGACAGUGUAAAUACUACUGACAGUGUAAAUACUACUGACAGUGUAAAUACUACAACAGUGAAAUGUAAAUACAACAGUGUAAUUGGGGUUUAAAAAUACAAAGUUUAUUUUAAUAAAUGUUGUUUAUUUUAUUUCACAUUUAUAUACAUUUAAGAACUUAAAUUAUUCAAAAACUAAAUAAAUUAAAUAUGUGUUCAAUGUCAAUGAAUAUUGCUAUAUUCUAAAUUUUUUAUUCCAAAAUAGGCAAUAACUGUUUCCUUUAUAGUUGACCCCACAUGUUGUCAUGAAAAUUAAUACUAAAUAAAAAAAGUAGCCAAUGAUCCAUGUUUCCUCUUACAGUCUUUGCUUUAUAUGAAAAAUUAAAUACUAUGAAUAAUUGCAUUGUUCCUUUUAUUGAUAAAGAGUUUCCCAUUAAAAGAGAAAGUAUUCCCAAUUAAUACUUUGCCUGUUAAAGUGUGCCCACCCCUUGACGAGUAAAAUCGUCUGGCGUUAGACAGAGUAAAAUAAUAAAGUAGGGUGCAUCAGGGCACAUGCAAUGCAACUCAAUGGGUUAACUGGAUCGCCCGGUGUUAGACAGAAUAAUAAAGUUGGGUUAACAAGUAAAAUUGUCUAGCUUUACAGUACAUCUUCCAAGGGGGGCUGGAUUUGGGGAGCAGGCCUACCACUUUGGGGAGGGCUGCUUUUUUGAACCUCAAUUAAACUAUUACAGUAAUCUGACGGCCUGUCUAUAUGGUCUCCGGGUACUAGGGAAAUC